rnacentral:lncRNA from 1 species
UGCAUCAUUUGUUUAAUUAGUUUUUAGUGUAAAUAAAGAUCUUUGUUUCUCUAAACACUGUCAGGACACAAACGAGCGUCACGUAGGAAGGUUUGGGACCCACGCAGCCUACACUACCUAGUUAACAAUGCUUAUAGAACGGUGCUCACCCUACUACUUAGUUACAACGUGUCUUUACAGCAAACAAGAGGUGGAGGAGGAGGAGGAGGAGGAGGAGGUGAAGUGGAAAGCAGUGACGAGGCAAGCGAUUGUUUUCGCCUUAGCCUGUGCACAGAACGACUGGUGUGUGACCCGGCUGCCAGGAAAGCAUGCAACCUGCACGGGGACCGGAGCUGUGACAACGAGCCAGCACCAGCGGGCGUAAGACUGAAUGACUGACUGACUGUUGUGAGUGAUAUGAGUAUAAGGUAUAAUGAGUAAAAGGGGGCUGCCGUGGUACAGUGGAACCAUGCGUGGUUUGGGGUCCGAGGGUCUCCAAGCGCAUGGGUUCGAAUCGUGUCCACGGUCCGAGUGUAGGUUGGGCUUCCUCACUCGGGGUAACGGUUUCCUAGCGGGUGGGCUUUGAGAUAGGAGGUACCCCAAAAAAGUAUCCCCUUUAGUCCAUAAAUUCCCGUGAAAAGCCCACCUGGUAUAAAUAAAAUUUAAAAAAAAGUAAUUCUUCUAAAGGGGUUAGAAGUUGACGUUUCCUGUGUACAUUAGAAAUCUAGGUACAGAGGAUCUGAUAGAGCCUAACAGCAGAGAGGCAUAUGUAAAGAGGGCCUGAUAAUAGGUCUUAAUGGUAAAGGUAGUUAUGUAACGGAUGAAAUAAGCAAAAAAGUGGAAAAUGGGUUUUGAAAGGUCAAAAGUUUUGGCAGAUAACUUGUCUCGUUCUCAGAGUGGUAGGUAAGUGGAGUGGGCGGCUGUUUGUCAGGUUGUAUCAAGGUGUUCCUGUUGAGGCCUCCAAGCGCUUAGCUGUGUGAUAAGGUUCCUCACACCACACUCGCGAGAGUAUAGGCCUAGCCAUGAUCGUCAGGGCAGAGUCUUUAAAAUUUCAUACUUCGUAAGUGUAAUAUAACAAGGGUGUUUAAUUAUUUCUGGAGAAUAAGAAAUAACAGGUGGAGGUUAAGAGGAAUAAUACUGGAACGUUUUAAAGUAAAACGGUGUGGAUAGUAAUUAUUAGUGCUCGAGUAUUGGGCAGUAAAUGGGAUAGACUUGAGGGUAGGUGAGUGAUGGGCGGUAAAUGAGAUUGACUUGAGGACAGUUAAUAUUUAAGUAUUGUUCGGUAAAUGAAAUGGACUAAGCGCUCGGGAAAUUGUAGCAGCGGUGUUCUUGUCGAGGCCUUUGAAUGCUUCGCUAUUCUGGACUAUGGGUGCUUACAACACUUGUGUAAAGCACACCGUAUAUUUGAAAGGAAGAUUUCCAAGAAUUAAACUUUAUUUUUGUCACAGGUACUGCCGCUACUGAAGGGAGAACCAAACCGUCGUGUCCUGCCAAUGCUCCCCAUCCCGCUGCUGGAGACUGCCUCGUGUCCUGCCAAUGCUCCCCAUCCCGCUGCUGGAGACUACCUCGUGUCCAAACUAGUGUCCUGUCUCAGCCAGUUCUGUAAACACACUCCAUCCUGCCUCGUGUCAAAACCAGCGUGUCCUGCCGAUACUCCAUUCUGCUGCUGGAGACUGCUUAGUCUUGCAGCACCGUGAGAUUAGACGCCUCGUCACUUCUGUCCUGCCAAAAACUACGCGCUGCCGGCAGGGAGGGAGGACAGAUAAGCUUCCUCACCACUGUCCUGCAAGGAGUACGUGCUGCCGCCCAGGGAUGUUAGGUUGGGUUGGGUUAAGGUUUACUAUAAAUCCUGUGUAUGUUUGGCAUAAGGACUUGUAAAUUAGUUGCUGUUCUACCUUGUUUAUUUUUUACCCUUUUACUUUCUCGUGUAAAUUUUUAGUCUACCUUGUCUUGCUAAUACUCUGCCAGUCUGUCCGUGCUGUGAGUGUACUGUAUCUACAUAACUGUGGCGCCACUACUCAAUAAAUUACCAGGAUGAACCAA